UACGUAGGGGGCCAGCGUUGCUCGGAAUUACUGGGCGUAAAGGGUUCGUAGGUGGUGCGGCAAGUCGGGAGUGAAAUCUCUGGGCUUAACUCAGAGGCUGCUUUCGAAACUGCCGUGCUCGAGUGCGAGAGAGGUCAGUGGAAUUGCAGGUGUAGCGGUGAAAUGCGUAGAUAUCUGCAGGAACACCCGUGGCGAAGGCGGCUGACUGGAUCGCAACUGACACUGAGGAACGAAAGCGUGGGGAUCAAACAGG
rnacentral:rRNA from 1 species